CCUACGGGUGGCAGCAGUGGGGAAUAUUGCACAAUGGGGGAAACCCUGAUGCAGCGACGCCGCGUGAGUGAAGAAGUAUCUCGGUAUGUAAAGCUCUAUCAGUAGGGAAGUAAAUCACGUUACCUGAUGAAGUAGCCCCGGCUAACUACGUUCCAGCAGCCGCGGUAAUACGGAGGGGGCCAGCGUUAUCCGGAUUUACUGGGUGUAAAGGGAGCGUAGACGGCAGCACAAGACUGGAGUGAAAUGCCGGGGCUUAACCCCGGAACUGCUUUGGGAACUGUGGAGCUAGAGUGCGGGGAAGGUAAGUGGAAUUCGUAGUGUAGCGGUGAAAUGCGUAGAUAUGAGGAGGAACACCGGUGGCGAAGGCAGCUUACUGCAGUGUAACUGACGUUGAGGCUCGAAAGCGUGGGGAGCAAACAGGAUUAGAUACCCGUGUAGUC
rnacentral:rRNA from 1 species